rnacentral:rRNA from 1 species
UACGUAGGGUGCAAGCGUUGUCCGGAAUUAUUGGGCGUAAAGAGCUUGUAGGCGGUUUGUCGCGUUGUCCGUGAAAACUCACAACUCAAUUGUGGGCGUGCGGGCGAUACGGGCAGACUGGAGUACUGCAGGGGAGACUGGAAUUCCUGGUGUAGCGGUGGAAUGCGCAGAUAUCGGGGAAGAACACCCGUGGCGAAGGCGGCUCUCUGGGACGGUACUGACGCUGAGACGCGAAAGCGUGGGGAGCGAACAGG